rnacentral:rRNA from 1 species
CAGCCGCCGCGGGAAUACAGAGGGUGCGAGCGUUAAUCGGAUUUACUGGGCGUAAAGCGUGCGUAGGCGGCUUUUUAAGUCGGAUGUGAAAUCCCUGAGCUUAACUUAGGAAUUGCAUUCGAUACUGGGAAGCUAGAGUAUGGGAGAGGAUGGUAGAAUUCCAGGUGUACCGGUGAAAUGCGUAGAGAUCUGGAGGAAUACCGAUGGCGAAGGCAGCCAUCUGGCCUAAUACUGACGCUGAGGUACGAAAGCAUGGGGAGCAAACAGGAUUAGAUACCCGCGUAGUCCCUGUCUCUUAUAC